rnacentral:siRNA from 1 species
AGGGUUUAGAGUUAGGGUUUAGG